ACUCUAGCGAGACUGCCGGUAAUAAACCGGAGGAAGGUGGGGAGUGACGUCAAUCAUCAUGCCCUUAUGACCUGGGCUACACACGUGCUACAAUGGUUGGUACAACGAGUUGCGAGUCGGUGACGGCGAGCUAAUCUACUUAAAGCCAAUCUCAGUUCGGAUUGUAGGCUGCAACUCGCCUACAUGAAGUCGGAAUCGCUAGUAAUCGCGGAUCAGCACGCCGCGGUCGAAUACGUUCCCGGGCCUU
rnacentral:rRNA from 1 species